rnacentral:rRNA from 1 species
CGGACGGGUGAGUAAUGUCUGGGAAACUGCCCGAUGGAGGGGGAUAACUACUGGAAACGGUAGCUAAUACCGCAUAACGUCGCAAGACCAAAGAGGGGGAUCUUCGGGCCUCUUGCCAUCGGAUGUGCCCAGAUGGGAUUAGCUAGUAGGUGGGGUAACGGCUCACCUAGGCGACGAUCCCUAGCUGGUCUGAGAGGAUGACCAGCCACACUGGAACUGAGACACGGUCCAG